AACGUAGGGUCCGAGCGUUGUCCGGAAUCACUGGGUGUAAAGGGUGCGUAGGCGGGCUUGUGCGUCAGGGGUUAAAGACCUCGGCUUAACCGGGGGAGUGCCCUUGAUACGGGGGGGCUUGAGUGCGGGCGAGGCUGGUGGAAUUCCUGGUGUAGCGGUGAAAUGCGUAGAUAUCGGGAGGAACACCGAUGGCGAAGGCAGCCAUCUGGAGCGCCACUGACGCUGAGGCACGAAAGCGUGGGGAGCAAACAGG
rnacentral:rRNA from 1 species